rnacentral:rRNA from 1 species
UGAGGAAUAUUGCUCAAUGGGCGAAAGCCUGAAGCAGCAACGCCGCGUGUGGGAUGAAGGCCCUCUGGGUUGUAAACCACUGUAGAAAGGGACAAAGGUCAUGCUCCGCAUGACUGGAUGGUACCUUUAAAGUAAGCCUCGGCUAACUACGUGCCAGCAGCCGCGGUAAUACGUAGGAGGCAAGCGUUGUCCGGAAUCACUGGGUGUAAAGGGUGCGCAGGCGGGAAGGUAAGUCAAUGGUGAAAUCUCACAGCUUAACUGUGAAACUGCCAUUGAUACUGCUUUUCUUGAGUUUGGGAGAGGGUGGUGGAAUUCUUGGUGUAGCGGUGAAAUGCGUAGAUAUCAAGAAGAACACCAGUGGCGAAGGCGGCCACCUGGCCCAUAACUGACGCUCAUGCACGAAAGCGUGGGGAUCAAACAGGAUUAGAUACCCCCGUAGUCC